GUGCCAGCCGCCGCGGUAAUACGUAGGGGGCGAGCGUUGUCCGAAGUUACUGGGCGUAAAGCGCGCGUAGGCGGCUCUUUAAGUGACUGGUGAAAUCCCCGGGCUCAACCCGGGGUAGUCUGGUCAUACUGGGGAGCUAGAGUGUGGGAGGGGAGAGCGGAACUCCUGGUGUAGCGGUGAUAUGCGUAGAGAUCAGGAAGAACACCCGUGGCGAAGGCGGCUCUCUGGACCAUAACUGACGCUGAGGUGCGAAAGCCAGGGGAGCGAACGGGAUUAGAUACCCCGGUAGUCCUGGCCCUAAACGAUGGAUACUAGGUGUGGCGGGUAUCGACCCCUGCCGCGCCGCAGCUAACGCAAUAAGUAUCCCGCCUGGGGAGUACGGCCGCAAGGUUGAAACUCAAAUGAAUUGACGG
rnacentral:rRNA from 1 species